rnacentral:rRNA from 1 species
AACGAACGCUGGCGGCAGGCCUAACACAUGCAAGUCGAGCGCCCCGCAAGGGAGCGGCGGACGGGUGAGUAACGCGUGGGAACGUACCCUUUGCUACGGAAUAGCCUCGGGAAACUGGGAGUAAUACCGUAUGUGCCCUUCGGGGGAAAGAUUUAUCGGCAAAGGAUCGGCCCGCGUUGGAUUAGGUAGUUGGUGGGGUAAUGGCAUACCAAGCCGACGAUCCAUAGCUGGUUUGAGAGGAUGAUCAGCCACACUGGGACUGAGACACGGCCCAGACUCCUACGGGAGGCAGCAGUGGGGAAUCUUAGACAAUGGGCGCAAGCCUGAUCUAGCCAUGCCCGCGUGAGCGAUGAAGGCCUUAGGGUUGUAAAGCUCUUUUACCAGGGACGAUGAUGACGGUACCUGGAGAAUAAGCCCCGGCUAACUUCGUGCCAGCAGCCG